UUCACCAUGUUGGCCAAGAUGGUCUCAAACUCCUGACCUCAAAUGAUCCACCUGUCUCAGCCUCCCAAAGUGCUGAGAUUACAGGCAUGAGCCAUUGCACCGGUCCCAGAGUGUUUUCUAACAGGAAGAUGGUGUCUGUUCUUUCAGUGCCACAGUUUCUCCCAAUUUGUAAACUGUGAACCCUUAGCAAUCCUGAUUUUCAUUAACACCUAGGUUAUUAUUUAGUUCUCUGAAGUUACAGUUUGCUAAUACUACUGUCAGGACUGAAAGCGUUAAUGUAGCUUGGGCACUGGGAGAAUUUGAGAAUUUGGUUGUAUUGAAAUAAACAAUGAAUAAUAGGAUUUUUUAAAUCUCCAUUAAAUAUUUAAUUUAUAAAAAGCUUCUGCAGUGCCAUUAUUAAUUCUUAGUUGAAUGUUUUAAACUUUUUUAUGUUGUAUAUUGAAUAUAAAAUGGUCUGGCGCAUGGUAAGCUCUCCAUAAAUAUGGAAUUUAUGUUAUUAUGGUUUAGGUGUUACUGUCUAAUGAAUGACUGAAUGAAAACAUGCAUCAUGGAGGGUAAAAAUCAUCAGCUAGCAGCAGGUUUCUGUAAUUGCUAUAGUUCCCUAAAAGUCGUUACACACAGAGCCCUGAAACCCCGGGGACAGCAGUCACCCCUGAGUGCAAACAUGGGCACUAGUUGUGAUUGCAAGAGAAGGGCAAGAUCACCAACUUAGCCCAGAAUGCAUUGAGUGACUUUGUUGGUGCCACAGCUGAAGACCUGUUUUAGUUCUAACUUUCUGGUAAAGUCACUCUGAAGUCAAAGGCAGAAGAAGCCCUUCAAAUAUUUUGGCCUCAUUCCAUGGUAAUCAUAGGUACCCUGCCAGCAAUUUUUUUUUCUGUCCUAUGAAAGUCAGCUUCUACUAAAUUAUUACUUAAUCCUUUCUUAAAUUAGAAGAGACCGCUAGUUUUUUCAGACAGGAUAGUAGAAUGAAGCGCAGGACCCCAGAAUUUUACUUAUCUGGUUUGGAUGCUUUUGAACAUGCACUGGGUUUGCUUCCCGAUGGGUUGGGACUCGUUUUAACUCGAGAGAUGUUAGAGGGGCCGAAAACACUCCAGAAUUCAUAGUGACUUUGCCGUAUUCUGCAGACUCAACUACUAUGCAUCUAGACUGUGCCAUUAUUCAAAUAACAACCGUGAGUAGGAAAUAGAAUCCUGACUAUUAAACAUCAAACAUGAUUUCUUUGUGUCUCAGCAGCAGAAUUAUUUUUGCACCAGUUACAAGGCUUGCCUAUGAAUUAUUUAAAAAAUAAAAUCUUGAGCUCUGAGGCAUUUUUGAAAAAUCUUUUAUUACCACCAUCACAUAAACAUAGAAAAGAACAGAUGUGUGCUAUCAAAGGUGAAACUCACUUUCAUAUUAGAAAAGAAACACAGUGCAGUUGCUUCUAAAUAUAGUUCGUUUAAAUAAUAAGAAAAAUAUGAUAUGUCUGCAGGUAAUGAAGGACAUAAGAAUUAAGAAAGGAGAAUCAUGGGAAAGUAGGAGAACAGGUAAACACUUGAGAAAAAGAAAGAAAUUGUCUAGGAAAAAAAGAGUCUAAUUUUCACCCAAGAAGGUCUGGAAAAUAAUAACAAUUACAUUAUUUUAUUAUGUUAGAACAAUUUUGUACAAAGGUGAGUGUGCCCUAUUUUCGCUUAGAGAAAUGAUAUGUGUAGGUUAAAUGGAAUAAUGGCCUCAGUGCCCUAAGCUAUUCCACAGCUAAUACUUCCAUUUAAAAUAAAUUUUUGAAAGCAGUAAAACAUGUGGCUAGCCGAUUAUUCAUAUGAUUAAUCUGUUGGUUUUUCAUUUUAUGCUUUCGUAUGUUUGAUAAGGAGUUGGCUUGUAUUUUUCCCUUGAAGGGGACAUUUAAGUGAGUGAUGCCAUUCAUCCUUGUUCAAUUUUUGUCCAGUCUUGAUGCAGGUUUGAAGAGGAAAUGGGUUGCAUUUUGAAAGAGUCCUGGUGGAGAAUCUUAAAACCCUCUAUUUUAACACAAUAAAAAAAGGAGAUGUCGAUUUUUAAACAUCAUCUAUGUUAGGUAAAGGAAGCAUCUAUUUCUGGGAAAGAUUUCCGAGGCAUCAUCAUAGCCUGUGGAAAUAUGGAUGGGGAUUCAACUCUCUGUAGUCAGCAAGGGACAGGUGGGAAAUCGUGUUUUUGAAGAAGAAUGCACUUGUAAUAGCAAGUUACCACAGUCAACUUUCACCUCUGCCAAAUGUGUGAUUGGCUUAAGCUACUUAUAUUUUCAAAUCUGUUAAUUAUUCACAGUUUUGGCAGAGCUGUUGCUUCUCACAGUGUUGGUGGCUGUCGUCCACCUUUUUUUUUUUUUUUUUUUUUUGAUGAGUGCCAUGAAAGGGAAAAUGGAUUUUUUUUUUCCUUUUGAAGGCUUUAAGGAUACCACCAUAGCUUUUCUGAACAAGAAACAAUUUCACAGUUUUAUUAUGGAAUGGGUGCUAUCCUCCCAGCAUAAUUCUGUGGUUUUUAAGUGUUACGCCAGAGCUGGCUCAGGGAAAUAGCUAUAUACAGAGAAUUUGGUGGGUCCAAAAGAGAAAAGGGAACAGAAAAAAGGAAGAGUACAUUUUGUGGUUGCAAGACUUAUGAUUUAGGGGACCCCUUGGGGUUCAGUGCCAUUCAAAGGCAGGAAGUAUCCAUUCAUAAGUCUUGGUCCCUCUCUACUGUAUUUGGUAUCAUAAUUUAAAUGAAUUCAGGGCUGAAUGCCAGCAUCAAUCAGUUCCACAUGUUUGAUCAAAUCUCUAUUCUUGCCUACACAGUCCCUUGAAAAAGCACGCUGUACUAGAGGGAUUGCAGCACUACUCGGGGUUACACAUCCAUCUCGCAUUUCUGGCUAGUGAAGGAAAAUACGAAGUUUUCUCCAUGCUCUAUCACUCCAAAUAAGUGAUAUUCCCUUUAACACUACACAGUUGACCCAAGAGCAUGGCCAUUGUUUGAAACACAAUGGAACACCUUUUCUAUGACUGUCUAUAAAAAAGGAUUUAUGAGACAUAAUAUGUAUGAACAUUAGUUUAGUUCUUUAGUUUAUUUUAUAGAGUCAGUCUAUUACUAAAUAGAUUACCUAUUUUAUUAAGUUCUGAUUUUUUUCCUAUAAUUUAUUUUAAAAAUAUUCAAAAUAAAUUUAGGUUCUACCGUUAACAUUUUGCUAUAUUUUAACACAAUCUAGUUGACUUUUUGAUAGUUUCUCCAAUUUCAUUUACUGGAAAAAUAAAGUUGACACAUAGACACAUACAGAUGCACACACACAGAGAGAGACAAGAAGGUAGGUAGAUAAACUCGUUUAUCUCAAAGCGAGUUUUGAGAUAAAUAUGGAUCCAGUUGAAUAAGAUAGAGUAGAAAGCUGAUUACUGGAAGCUGGAGGCUAGGAGUAAAGGAUGGGGAGUUUUGGUUGAAGGGUACAAAGUUUCAGCUAGACAGGAGAAUACGUUUUUGAGAUCUAUUCUACAAUAUGGGGACUAUAUUUAAUAAUAAUGUACUGUAUAUUUCUAAAUUGUUGAGAGUACAUUUAAGAUGUUCUCAUAAAAACAAACACUAUGGGAGGUGAUUGUAUGUUGAUCAGCUUGAUCAGUCAUUCUACACUGUAUAUAACAUCACAUUGUACCACGUAAAUAUACACAAUUAUAAAUUAUUAAUUCCCAAUGUAAAACCAUAUUCUCAAGAUAACCUUAGUGCUUUAAAAAGGACUAGUUAAUACCCAUGGUAAAGUUCUGGUAUACGUACUUGCUUAAUAAUUAGCCAUAUUACUUUAGAGUCACACUUUUAUGGCUUCAGCUAUAAGAUGACUUUACAAAUAAGAUUAGAUGUAGACAUCUAGAAACAUGAAAUUAAAUUUCAAGCUAUGUUAUAAGAACUAGGUGUAUGGACUUGACAAUCAGCAAAGAUGAAUUUGUGGAGAACCUGUUUUGUGACACUUUAGAUUCCCCCAUGCGUUUCCAUAAUAAUAAAAAUGCGAGUAGUUCCUAUGGAGAAAUAAAUUACUCUCAGUUUUUCCUCCCUUGUUAAGAUUAUGGAUUAAUAUACAAAGGUGGUAUUUGACAAAAAUGGAGCAUAUUUAUCUUUAAAAUGCUAAAGUUCCCUCUGGCUUUAAAAGUGUGAUUCAGUAAGCUCUGAAAUGGUGUUCUGACUUCAGUGUUAAGUAGUCACGUUUGAAGGAUGUUAAUGUAGAUGUGAAUGAGAGGAAAUGCUGCUUGGUUGAAGAACUUCUGAUUUCCUGGCAGACAUGCUCAGGGCUCCUUGACAUGCAGUACAAACACCCAUACAUAUCAGAUUCUUGUCAUCUUGGAUUUUUUGGGGUCCUAACCCUUUACUAUUUAGUGAUCAGAAUCCUUUAAUACUUGGACACUAUUUGUAUUUUAUUGGAAACCCCGUUGGCUGUAGUGCAAGUGUUCCCAAUUAAAGGGAGUAUGCCAUAUGGAGAAAAGAAAACUAGGGAGAAUUUUCUUUCCAGUUGCGUUUGAUCUGGCAAUAUUUUAAGGAAUUCCAUAGGCACAUUAAUGCAAGGAAAACGUACAUAACUUACAUAAUGCGGGAAUUAUAAAUCAACAGAUUAAGAGAAAAAUUUAGAAUUUUAAAUGUAGGCGAGACCUCAGAGACACUAUUUCAGUCCUCCUCAUUUUACAUAUAACAUGAUGGAGAAUCACUUAGUAAGGCAGACUGUUGAUUUCAUCGACUUGCCUAAAUUAACUCUUGUAAUAAUGGGCAGCAUCAAGACAAGAAUCCAAGACCCUUAACUUCUACGCCUAUUGUUUUUCUGCAGUAUGUCAGGUAUUCUGACACUAGCGUUUUUAACUGUGACUUAUAGGUAAAGGCACUGGGGCACAAAGAUGAAGUACUUGCUGCAGUUUACACAGCUGGCGAGUGGUUGAGCUGGGAUUUGAUUCAGGUUGGCUGGUUUUAGCCUCCAUGCUUCAAAACACAAAGUAGAAUUACUAUGAGUGAAUGAAUGAGUGAAUGUGCUGUGAGGACAGAAAGGAGCUGUGACUCACUGGAGUUUGCAGAGACAGAGAGGUUGAGAUUAAAUAAUGACUACAUGUUUUUAAGGGGAGAAAUGGUAAACAGCAUUGCAGGAACAAGUCACAGACUUCUGCCUGUUGCGUUUGGGGACACUGAUGCCCCUGAGUUGGGCUCAGGAUAGGGGAGUGAAAAAAGGUGCCAGAGCAACACAGUUUGGUUCAGAUAGUAAGAGUUGGGUGUGCCAUAUUAAGAAAUUUGAAGUCAACUCAGCAAUUAAAUAGAGAAAGGGAGGAAAACAAUGUACAUUUAUUUAAUGCCUAUUAAAUGAAAGUGAAAAUACUUAUAAUAUUAAAAUAAAGCACCAAAUGCCAGCUGCUUUAAUGUUUUACGCAUUUACACACACACACACACACACACACACACACACACACACACGAGUUCCUUUUAUGAAGUGCCCCCGGCUGAUGGUCAAAGGCCUCCCUGCCAGUGAGUGAUGGGAGCACGGGACUGUGACAGGUCACAUCUGAUGCUAAAGCUUAUUUUGACUUCCCCUGGUUCCUGGGGACCAAUGGAGACUUUGAAGCAAGGGUGUGUCCUGCUCACAGUUUUUUGUUUUGUUCUAUUUUCAGCCAAGGAGUGUGGAACCGGUAAGAAAGGACCAGUGAAGGGAGUGGGAGGGUCAGAGAGGCGGGGCUCUCCCAGGUCCAGAGGCAGCACAAGCGUUUCCUAAGGCAGUGAGUAGCAUGGGGCUGCAAAUGCAGUUCUGAUUUGUGAUUCUUCCUGAACCACCCUUGGACCUUCUAGUGAAGGUGUGCUUUGGUCGCGCUGUGCAGAUGUGGCCCUGGCGACUCGGCAGUGCUGUAGAAUUGGGUCUGUUGCGCUUCAGUGGUUGGCUGGGGCAUGAAGUUGAUCCCUCUGUGAGCAGGUUUUGGUCUUGUUGACAGUUAUACACUCAGAUGGUUUGUUUAUUUAACUCAUGAUUAGUGCCUUUAACACAGAAUAUUAGCACUCAAAUUAGUGUUUGUUGAGCUUGACAAAACGCCCAUCAUUGGCAGGGUGGGAGGUUACUGCUGUACCUAAUUUGAGAGUCCUCAAUAGUUGCUGCCGAUGGUAUAGGAUAGCAAAUUCCAUUUCUGAAUUUUCUGAGAUGGGAGGAAAUUGACGUUUCUUAGAAUCCAGUUUUGAUUAAAUUAUUUUUCACUUUUGAAAUUCUCUGUGAAUUUCGGUUAAGCAAGGAACACUGGAAUUAUUAUACUUUUAUGAGUUAUUUUUCAUUUUUCCGUUAAUGAGUGUAAAAUCUUGUGAGUAAAUCAGACUCAAGUGUUAAUUAUGAAGUGUUAAUUCAAUAAAUAAUGUGUUGUUUCUUCUUCAAGCUCAUACUUUAGAAAAAUUAUUUAAAUUAGCUCUCCUUUUUCCAAAACCAGAAAGUAAAUACAUGAAGGCUUUCUGUUUUUGCUGAAUAUUUUUCUGAAGGUGAAAACAAACCUCUUUCAACAAUGUACAGAAAUGUUUUAGAUUAUUUAAUGUUUAGCCUAAAAGGGAAAUUAGUGAGAUGCCAGAAUGAAGUAGCUAGGGUAAUGAUAAGAGAGUAAUGAGAAAAAAUGGGCAAUGAAAGGACAUGAUCCUGUUGGGAGGAUAAUGAGAGGGAAUAAGAGAUCAGCAGAAGAGGGGACAUCAUGACAAUCAGCUGGGAAAUGCAUUGGGCAUAGGGAAAUAAUGAAGAUGUCAACAAAAAUCCUACAGCUCUUACCCCUUCAGCUGUCUGCUUGUUCGCUACAAAGGGAAGUGUGGAGCACUGCUGAACAUUGAGCAGUCCAAAGCAACCGUCGUAAGGAAGAGGAAGGAAAAAAGGUGUAACAAUAGUUAUUGCCAGUUCGUAUACAGUUUUUUAGAUUCAUUAGAAGAUUGGAAAAUAUUUGAUAAUUGUUGCUUUCAGUCAUAAAGGUAUGUGAACAAUACACUUGCAAUUCAUAUCAAAUCCAUUAGAUUAAGGUUGGUUGAGUUUGACAUUCUUUGCUUAAUCAGGCUUGCUCAGACUUUUUGAGAUAAGUCCACUAAUGAAUGAUUGAUGUGAAUUGACAUAAUGUAGGAUUACCACAGUAUGGUUCGUAAGUGACUUCAGCGUAUUUGGGAAUAUUGUUUUAAUUCUAAAGCGAGGUAGGGAGGUCACAGGUCAUUUAGCCCAACUGUCAUUUCAUAGAUGAAGAAAACAAAAUCCUGGAGAAUCUAAGUGCCUUUGCCUGAGGCCGAAGCUGGUUCGGAGCUGUCUAAGAAUUACUGGCAUUCCCCGAGUCCAGUGAGAUUUCAUCACAUCACACUACUCCAGUAUCGCAGGGCAGGCUGCAGGAGUGCCGGACGCUGUCCCUUUCUGCUGCCAUUUUAUCAGUCAACUUGCUGGCUUCAAAACAGAGCUAACCCAAGGGAAAAUAAGUACACAUUAUUUUUUGAAAAGUCAAAAGUGCCCAAGAAAGCAGAGGCCAGUGGUGCGGGUGUUGUGCACUAGCCCAAGAGAAGCAUCCUGUCUCCAGGGUCCCUGUUAAUUAGUGAACCUGGGGAGAUAGCAAAUAGCUCCCCUUUUAGGGGAAGAGUUUCUUCAGGUGAUCACAGGCAGAGGCCAAAUCUCAUCAAAUCCGUGGUUUCUACCAACUUGAAAAUUCUAAUAUAAUUUCAUGGGUGCCAAUGAGAACCUUAACUUUUAAGGACCUUUGUGGUUUAUGCUUUAUCAAAAUGAGGAAAAGUAAGUAAUAUAAUCUUUCUGAAACAGCUACUGUUGUUGUUGAAAAAUGAUACUCGUUGAAAAUUGGCUGAAAAUCUCAGAUGCAAUGUGAAAAGAUGUUGAUGACUCAGCUCUGCAUAAGAAAGGAGAGAGCAAAAGCAAAGAACAAAUUUCUGAUUAUAAUAAAACCAAACCAAACCUAACCUUGUUGCUGCUAUUUAGUUGUCACCUGCCUUACCAGUCUUGUAUAGGCAUUUAUUUGAUUCACAAAAGUUUAGAAAACUCCCACCUCAACUUUGUGUUCAGAUAGCCAUACAUUAUGACAGGAACUUAGUUUCUUUCUUUAUUAAAAAAAAAUGAUACGUUAACUGUUAUGGCAGAUUGAAAUGUAAUAUUUUAAAGGCUUCUGUUAAAGUAAAUUGCCUGAGUUUACCAUUUUAACUAUGGCAUACGAUUAAUGUAGAUACACAUAAAAUUCAUAUUGGAUACCUAAUUCAGGAUUUAAUGAUUGUCACUGCAGGAAAUUCUUCCACAGGGAAGUCUGACAUUUCAAAAGUCAUGGAGACACUAGUUGCUCUCUAAACCUGUCUUGGAGUCCUCUGGUUUUAUGAUUGUCCUGUGUAAUGUUACUAUUUCAUGGUACUUUUUCAACAUUAACAAAAUAGAUGAACACACACAUUUGAUGUUUUUUCAGGAUCUUAAGAAAGGAAGAGGGGCUUGUUAGGAUAAUAGCUGAGGAAGAAAAAAUUCAGCAAAGUCUUAAUUAACAAAGAGCAUGAAGAAAUGUGUAGCGACAAAGAGGAGAAAAAGCAGUUUUAUUUUGUUGUUAUUAAGUACAGAAUUACGAGUACCAUAACACAAGCGCUAACAAUUCACAGGAGAAACAUGAGGGUAAGUAGACUGACAAUCUGACUCUACCUUGAAUGUUACCAGGACCUUAAGAAAGGGAGAAGCAGGAAAGGGGGCAGUUGAUAAAAAAUUUUAAAUAGAUUUUAAAAGUUUGGAUUCAGAAAAAAUCCAAAAAGGGAAUAUAUCAACAUUUGAUAAUGUAUGAAAAAACAAACAAGGAUGUAAUUAAACAGAGAGGCUCAAGAUAUAGACGGAAAAG